rnacentral:rRNA from 1 species
GAUGAACGCUAGCGGCAGGCUUAAUACAUGCAAGUCGUGGGGCAGCAGGUCUGUAGCAAUACAGAUGCUGGCGACCGGCAAACGGGUGCGGAACACGUACACAACCUUCCUUUAAGUGGGGAAUAGCCCAGAGAGAUUUGGAUUAAUACCCCGUAACAUAAUGAAGUGGCAUCACUUUAUUAUUAUAGCUCCGGCGCUUAAAGAUGGGUGUGCGGCUGAUUAGAUAGUUGGCGGGGUAACGGCCCACCAAGUCGACGAUCAGUAACUGGUGUGAGAGCACGACCAGUCACACGGGCACGGAGACACGGGCCCGACUCCUACGGAGGCAGCAGUAAGGAAUAUUGGUCAAUGGACGCAAGUCUGAACCAGCCAUGCCGCGUGGAGGAUGAAGGUCUUCUGGAUUGUAAACUUCUUUUAUUUGGGAAGAAAUCUAUCUUUUCUUGGAUAGUUGACGGUACCAGGUGAAUAAGCACCGGCUAACUCCGUGCCAGCAGCCGCGGUAACAC